CAGUAGCCACGGUAAUACGAAGGGGGCUGGCGUUGCUCGGAAUUACUGGGCGUAAAGGGAGCGUAGGCGGACAUUUAAGUCAGGGGUGAAAUCCCAGAGCUCAACUCUGGAACUGCCUUUGAUACUGGGUGUCUUGAGUGUGAUAGAGGUAUGUGGAACUCCGAGUGUAGAGGUGAAAUUCGUAGAUAUUCGGAAGAACACCAGUGGCGAAGGCGACAUACUGGAUCAUUACUGACGCUGAGGCUCGAAAGCGUGGGGAGCAAACAGGAUUAGAUACCCCUGUAGUCCCUGUCUCUUAUAC
rnacentral:rRNA from 1 species